GCCUUCUUGGUGGAAAUGGUAGACACGUCAGACUUAAAAUCUGAUUCCAAAUUGGAGUGUCGGUUCAAGUCCGACAGAUGGCA
rnacentral:tRNA from 1 species